ensembl:snoRNA small nucleolar RNA SNORA40
UGCAUUGUUUUUGUUUUUGUCUAACUUGUGAACUAAAACUUAUGGAGAGGUGCAAAACAUAAAUCCUCUUUUGCAACCCAGAACUCACUGUUCAGAGUCAGUUUUGAUAUACUGGAGAAGGACUAAU